UGUUCUUGAUGCCCGUCGUUCUCGGCCAUUGUCGGGUUUUUCUCGCCGAUUAAGUACGGCAGUUUUCUUGCUUUACAUCCCUCUUACCCAUGGUCGUUUUCUUACUGGAAAAUUUUCCAUCCUCUGCUUUUCCUUAUUUAUGGACUUUGUGAUUUUCGUUGUGGUUGUCGAUCUGGGUUAAUUUCGAAUCGUUUUUUUGCCUAUGCGAUCUAAAGUUCUUUGGAAAAGUUAAGGAUACGAUCAAACGUUUACUUUUAUUCCGGGCAAGCAUAACCUUUAUCAACAUCCUGUUUUAGAAGAAUAAAAGUCAUUCUCAUGGUCCUUCUCUGGAAUACAUUGUUAAUUCUCCGGACUAUCGACCUCUGCCGUCUGAUUCUCCUCAAUGGUGCUUGCACCAUUUGAACCAGAGGGAAUCUUAAGGUUGAUUUCUGCAUUUGUCUAACUCUAACUCUAUUUCCAUCUCUCUCUCACAUACAAACACACUAUGUCAAUGUUAAAACAUCAUCAUUCCUGAUUAUUCAAAAUUGGUCUUUGGUUCAUUUUAUUAGUAAAUUUUCAAUUCUCUGAUAGCUUCUAUUCCAUGUUUUUUCGGAUUGCAUUAUAGGCACAUACUUUUGCAUUUCAAGGUAUCAAGCUUCUUCUUGCUAAUAAUACUAACUAUUUGCACUCUAAAAAAUUCUUCAUUUGAUUCAAUAGGGUUUUUAAUUUCACUUUUUUUUUGUCCCUGUGAAAUGUUUUUCCAGGCUAUAUCAUUGGAUUGCAAUUGGCUGUGGAUUCUGGAGGACGUGCUAUACACAAGAAGGUAAGAUAUUCUAGGUUUUUGUCCAUAUUCGGAAUAUCCCCAGUUUCAAAAUUUUAGGGAAUUGAUUCAUUUCCAUUUUACAUGUUUAACAUUCUUUGGGGUGAUGAUGACUUGAGGCUGUACAAACUAGAAUGGCUAUGGGUAGGUUUGAACGUAGCCAAAUUUGGGUAAGAAUCGUGAAACUCUAAUCCUAAUUUUCUCCGCUUUUGAAUUUAAGAGCAAAAAUUGGUGUAUUUACACUCUUUUUGGUUGUGAAUCAUGCAAAUAGUUUCUUUGCAGGUAUUAUGGGUAUUUUGACGGAAUUAAGGUUUAGGGUUGAUGGAUUUUAGGUUAUUAAACUUGGUUGUGCCUUCUUUUUGGUCUUUGCUGUAAUAUGUUUUCAUAUCUCAAAUAAAAAUUGUAUUUGCUUAUUUGGUUUUUCAAUUUUUGUGCAAAUUGGACGGAACUGAUGUUUCUGUGUUUCUUCUUAGAUUCAACUGAUAUCAUGGUAAUUAUGCACCUGACCUCUAUAGCGUAUCUUAAUCUAUCAUCGUUUCACUUACUCAGAGCCAAUUGUUGGAGCUUAGUGCUCAAUUAGGUGAAUUCCAAAUGCAAGAUCCUCUAAUUUCAUCUUUUGUGGUUUCAGCAAAGAUAAUGAAUCUUCUUAAAGCAUCUAUUUUUUUUCAGCAUAAUUCAGCUUCUCAGUUCAUUUCUCAGGUGUAGGUUAUCCUCAUGUUCCAUUUCCAUCAGGACUACAGGUGUUUAUUUUGGUUUCAUGUGUCGUUCUUUAGUUCUAAGUCCUUCGCAUGAAUGUGUGCUGAAAUGUAAUGUACAAAACUGGUAUGUGCUACUUCUCAGUUUUCUAUUUAUAUGUUUUUGGAAUUUUCGGGUGAUGGAAAUCAACCCGAGUUCAUGUUAAAACAAUAUCAUAAUUUUCAGUACGGUAAGAACUCAGAACUUAGAACCUGUUUUUUCUUUAUCUUUCCCCUUUUGAAGUUAAGGAGUUGAAUUACUUUUCUAUACAUUUUUUGUGAUCAUUCACUAAUAAUUUGUUAAUUGUUUUAAUAUAUAUGAGGUUGGAUUUCUACUUUCUAAGAUCCAUUAUCAUCUUCGGAGAUUACUUGAUUUCAUAUUGUCAAAUAGUUUAUGAAUUUCCAUAUUAAGUGCAUCAAUAUGUUCUUGAUAAUUUAAUUAAAUGUGAUAUAACUUGAGGUGUGUAUACCUUUGAAAUACAAUUUUUCACACAAUUUCUAUUCCCGCAGCAACGCGCGGGCAAAACUUUAUAGUGAUAAAGCUAAAUCCAAAUCCAACCUAUUAUCUCUAGGCCUACAACUCCCUUCAGGCCACUGCAUGGCCAGUUUGUCCCUGUCUAAGCUUGAGCAGCUUCGUCUCCACCAACGCCGUCAAUGGAGCCUACGCUUCUGCUGGACACCUUAUCUAUUUGCUGCAAAUGGCACAGUUCUUGGAAGUUAUACACGGAGCAAUUGGUCCAAGAGUUGCCAUGAGUCUUCAUAACUUUUGUUGCUUGGAGCUUAAGUGAGGUUAUUAGGUAUCCACGUUAUGCUUUUAAUUGCACGGGUAGCUGUCCAUCUUGGUUUACCUAUCUCAGGUACACUGCAUUCAUUGUCUUGUAUCCUCCAGGGAUGACUGGUGAAACCUGGCUUAUGUACCAAGCACUUCCUUUUAUAAAGAAGAAAAGCCUUUCCUCAGAUUUCUCCGCUGGCCUUUUCUUUCAGCUAUUAUAACUUUCUGAGGUCCCUUGCCUGUGGAUGGUUGGACCAGAUAGAACCAGUAUCAAGGAAGCAGCCCUACAGCCUCUUGUUUAGGUUGGAUGUUUGGACAGUAUGCCAACUAGCAGGUUAUAGGGUGGAUUGUAGUCACGGAUCCAUGAGCUGGACUCUUACUCAACAGCCACUCUAUAUAGACCACAAAGUUGCCAAAUUUUGGUACUUUUGAUUUGAAUUUUGUUGCCAAAUUGUGGCUCAUAUGUCAUUGGUGAAAAAACUCUGUACUUUUAACCUUGUUAAUAAGCUUGUUAUCAGUCAUAGUCAAAAUCGAAUUGUACGUCUAAAUUCCAAGGUUCUAAAAGACACUAGGCACUAGUCGGGCGGCUGGCUGGAGCCUAGCGUCUAGACGGACUAGACGGAUGUGUGUAAAUCUAUUAUAUUAUGUGUGAAUAAGUGUCUGCUUAUACUUA